GUUACUGCUAUCGAGGUUCGACUAAGCCAUGCGAGUCGAAUGUAGCAAUACAUGGUGUACUGCUCAGUAACACGUGGAUAACCUACCCUUGAGACGGGGAUAAACCCGGGAAACUGGGUAUAAUACCCGAUAGAUCUCGACUGCUGGAAUGCAUCGAGCUCUAAAGCUCCGGCGCUCAAGGAUGGAUCUGCGGCCUAUCAGGUAGUAGUGGGUGUAGCGUACCUACUAGCCUACGACGGGUACGGGUUGUGAGAGCAAGAGCCCGGAGAUGGAUUCUGAGACACGAAUCCAGGCCCUACGGGGUGCAGCAGGCGCGAAAACUUUACAAUGCUGGAAACAGCGAUAAGGGGACCUCGAGUGCCAGGUUACAAAUCUGGCUGUCGUGAUGCCUAAAAAGCAUUGCAUAGCAAGGCCGGCAAGACCGGUGCAGCCGNCGCGGUAACACCGGCGGUCGAGUGGUACCGUAUUAUUGGGUCUAAAGGGUCUGUACCGGCCGGAUAAGUCUCUUGGAAAUCUGCAGCUUACUGCAGCUUUCAGAGAUACUGUCUGGCUCGAGGCCGGAGAGGUAGAGGUACUUCAGGGGUAGGGGUAAAUCUUGUAAUCCUUGAAGACCACCAGUGCGAAGGCGUCUCACCAGACGGACCUGACGGCAAGGACGAAAGCUAGGGCACGAACCGGAUUAGGUACCCGGGUAGUCCUAGCCGUAAACGAUACUCGCUAGGUGUCGGCCACGGUGCGACCGUUGUCGGUGCCGUAGGGAAGCCGUGAAGCGAGCCACCUGGAAGUACGGCCGCAAGGCUGAAACUUAAAGGAAUUGCGGGGGAGCACCACAACGGGUGGAGCUUGCGGUUUAAUUGGAUUCAACGCCGGAAAUCUUACCGGGACCGACAGCAAUAUGAAGGCCAGGCUGAAGACUUUGCCGGAUUAGCUGAGAGGUGGUGCAUGGCCGUCGUCAGUUCGUACUGUGAAGCAUCCUGUUAAGUCAGG
rnacentral:rRNA from 1 species